AAAAUAAAGCGAUAUAAAUUGCCAUCAGUUUCGACCUGAUUUUAGACGAAGUCUAUUUUU
rnacentral:tRNA from 1 species